rnacentral:lncRNA from 1 species
CCCACAUCAUGGACAAAAGAGGAGGUUUCCUUAGCAACAUGAAUCCUAUGAAAUCUGUAAGGAGAGCUCUUUCCUUAAAUUCACUCCUUCAGUGGUUUGCACCAUACACUGGCUCUCCAUGGACUACUGGAGAACAAGGGUCUGAUUCGUCAUGCACCUGGUGUGGUAAUGGCUACCUUUCAAAAAAUGCAACCCUGUUGGUCUCUUGUUUCUGCGAAGCAUAAAUCAGCAGGCUGAACCAGUGGCUUAGUCCAUAGAAAAAGGAGAGACGGAUACAAACACAAAGAAUAAUUAGCUUCUUGUUGGCUGUUUAUAACUGUAAUACCGGACUUCAGACAAGACUUUGGUAUUUCACAGAUCACAUUGAUAGAGCGCAGAUUACAAUUGUCUGCAUAUUUAUCUAUGGUGGCUCCCGUUCUGUGCCAGGCACUCUCCAAGUGCUGAAGAAACAGGGUCCUUGCUGUAAAUUGCUCACAAUCUAAGAACAGACAAGGGAUGGAGGAGAAGGUGAAUGGGUUGAAUAAUAGGCGAUUUAAAUAUAAGUCAAUGCAAGCAGCAUGACACUAUUGGGGUUUUAAGAGGGACUUGAAUGUGGACUUAGGGAGUCCUUGCUGACGGACUUAGGGAGAUCGUACCAUGCAUGGAGGGGCUGCAUGGAAGACAGGGAUGGAGGUGAUUGUGUGGGGAUCUGGACAAACUAGCAGACAAGUCUGUCUUGAAAAUAUAAAAGUCGCAGAAUGAAAUCCUCAUCUGGGGAAGAGCCACUCAUGAAUCUCCUGAUGCUUUGGGGCUUCCUCCUCUUCCUACCACUCAGGUUUGAAUGGUCCAUAUUUGCCAGCAGGAGGGCUUUGGAGAUCCUCUGGUGGGUGGCUCCUAACCUUGCCCUGCUCCAGUCUAGAAUGAAGUAGGUUCAUAGGGAUGCAAGUAGCUGUUAAGAUAUUUUCUGUUGUGCAUGCUGUCCUACUGUAUUCCAAAUACUUCUUACUCUGCCUCCUCUAGUGCACCUUUGUCUCACCAAUGUGCAUCUCUCACAUAGUACUGAUACCUACUGUUCCAUGCAAACUGAAAACAGCUUCGCCCCCUCCCUGAUUCUCCCCCAACCCUUUCAAGAUAUGCAUGAGCUUCCCAUGAAAUUCCUGACUUCCCAAAAGAGAAUACUUCCCCCAUUCAUGAAAUAAACAUGCCCCUAAGCCUUCCCCUGCCUCCCA